rnacentral:rRNA from 1 species
AACUGAAGAGUUUGAUCAUGGCUCAGAUUGAACGCUGGCGGCAGGCUUAACACAUGCAAGUCGAGCGGGGGAAGGUAGCUUGCUACCGGACCUAGCGGCGGACGGGUGAGUAAUGCUUAGGAAUCUGCCUAUUAGUGGGGGACAACAUCUCGAAAGGGAUGCUAAUACCGCAUACGUCCUACGGGAGAAAGCAGGGGAUCUUCGGACCUUGCGC